rnacentral:rRNA from 1 species
UACGUAGGGGGCAAGCGUUGUCCGGAUUUAUUGGGCGUAAAGCGCGUGUAGGCGGCCAUACAGGUCCGUUGUGAAAACUGGAGGCUUAACCUCCAGACGUCGAUGGAAACCGUAUGGCUAGAGUCCGGAAGAGGAGAGUGGAAUUCCUGGUGUAGCGGUGAAAUGCGCAGAUAUCAGGAAGAACACCUAUGGCGAAGGCAGCACUCUGGGACGGUACUGACGCUGAGACGCGAAAGCGUGGGGAGCGAACAGG